GAAGAGCUUUCACAGUGUGCAUUCCUAAUGCUCGACUCCCCUCUUCAAACUCUCACAAUUUUGCCCUAAAAUAAACCCUAGAAUCUAAAUCCGAUUUAGAACAUCCAACUGCACGUCAAACGCAGAUCAAUUCUGCAAUUCUCCUGCAGAAUCUGGUGGCUGUCGGUUUGAGUCGAGUUAAAAUCAAUUCCGAGGUGGGGCAGGUUCCGGUGCAGGAUAGCAACUCGAUGAUAACUCGGUCGAAACUCGUAGAGCAACUGAGAGAUUACCAGAUCCGAUCCCAGCAUAAGUUCCCUGCCCUCGCCGUCUUCUCUCCCAAACCCCUACUCUCCACCUGGACUGAUGUUGCCGUUGCUAUUUUCUGGGCGUUGAUCUUUUUCGUGCUUCUAGUUUCUUCGUACAUUACCCUUUACCUAAAACAUUACCAUAUUUCCUUCGUCAUUGUGUGCCUUGGUAUCCUUGUUCCAAUUCGUUUGAAAAUUUCACGACAGUCGCUUGCAAGGAAAAGGGAUAGAAGAUUGUUAUUGCCUUUAUCCAUGUGAGCCCCCUCAACUAUUGCUAGACAAUGUACCAUUGUUCACUGCCAGAAAGUUGGUUUUCCAGUUGCAUUUCAAGAAAUGGGAAGCUGACUGAACAUGAUUAACGUACGCUCACAUACCUCUAGAAAUAUGGUAUGGCUCUGUUCUAUUUUUUUGUCAUAGCCAGUUUAAAGGUUUAAGAAACUCCUAGCGCAAUUCUCUCCUCAGUAAGGAACUUUUUUGAACUGUUCAAGUAACAGUUGAAGGUUCUCUAGCUUUAAGUUUUGCGACCAAUAGAUUGUAAAUGCAUGUGGAAUGGAAGGAAAGUUUUCAGUGA